UGCCAUCUUUUUUUCUCUAAGAAUUCUCAUGUUCAUUCCUUUCUCAGUUUCUCAUCCCAUUUUGCCGGUCGUUUCUCCUCUUCAUCGUUUUAUUUGCGUGUGUCAUAUUCAUAGAAUUUAGCAAAGAACCUGAUCCAGAUGCCAAUGACCUACUGGAUUAUAAACAUACUUCCCAACAAAAUCGAGAAAUAAUAGCUCUAUCAUCACAAAUAUAAAAGUCUCGGCAUGCAAAUUAACGCCAUUGAUGAAGGUGGGUCAUGGGUGAUUACCGGCUACAUCAAUUACGACAAAUCAAUAGUGUGGAUUAAGGGUAAAGAGGAUUAGAAGAAGAUCCUCCUCACUGAAGACAAGUAGCCAAACCUGGAGAACAACGGUAUAUAUAUAUAUAUGGUGAUAUGAUGACCAAAACGUAAUUCAAACGUUCAAGCAGUAUAUAUAUAUAUGGUGAUAUGAUGUAUACAGAGGAGGAAGGACGAAGACAAUUGUUGCAUACAAUAAAAUAGUUUUUUCCUUUUAAUAGUUUUGUCUGUACUUAGUUACUUUGUGUAAAUAUAUUUAUGUUUGUUUUUCUUUUAGUAAAUACGUUUUCCACCAAAUGUAAUUGUUUCUAUUUUUUUCCGGUACAAAGUACGGGUGUAAUACUAGUUGUUUAUAUUGCCAACUAGU